rnacentral:rRNA from 1 species
GACGAACGCUGGCGGCGUGCUUAACACAUGCAAGUCGAACGGAAAGGCCCCUUUGGGGGUCCUCGAGUGGCGAACGGGUGAGUAACACGUGAGUAACCUGCCCUUGACUUCGGGAUAACUUCAGGAAACUGGGGCUAAUACCGGAUAGGAAUCCUUGCUGCAUGGUGGGGGUUGGAAAGCUUCGGCGGUUUUGGAUGGACUCGCGGCUUAUCAGCUUGUUGGUGGGGUAGUGGCUUACCAAGGCUUUGACGGGUAGCCGGCCUGAGAGGGCGACCGGCCACAUUGGGACUGAGAUACGGCCCAGACUCCUACGGGAGGCAGCAGUGGGGAAUAUUGCACAAUGGGCGGAAGCCUGAUGCAGCAACGCCGCGGGCGGGAGGACGGCCUUCGGGUUGUAAACCGCUUUCAGCAGGGGCGAAGCUUGUGGUGACGGUACCUGCAGAAGAAGCACCGGCUAACUACGUG